rnacentral:rRNA from 1 species
CCUACGGGAGGCAGCAGUGGGGAAUAUUGGACAAUGGGCGAAAGCCUGAUCCAGCAAUGCCGCGUGAGUGAUGAAGGCCUUAGGGUUGUAAAGCUCUUUUACCAGGGAUGAUAAUGACAGUACCUGGAGAAUAAGCUCCGGCUAACUCCGUGCCAGCAGCCGCGGUAAUACGGAGGGAGCUAGCGUUGUUCGGAAUUACUGGGCGUAAAGCGUACGUAGGCGGUUAUUCAAGUCAGAGGUGAAAGCCUGGAGCUCAACUCCAGAACUGCCUUUGAAACUAGAUAGCUAGAAUCUUGGAGAGGUGAGUGGAAUUCCGAGUGUAGAGGUGAAAUUCGUAGAUAUUCGGAAGAACACCAGUGGCGAAGGCGACUCACUGGACAAGUAUUGACGCUGAGGUACGAAAGCGUGGGGAGCAAACAGGAUUAGAUACCCUGGUAGUCCACGCCGUAAACGAUGAUAACUAGCUGUUCGGGCUCUACGAGCUUGAGUGGCGCAGCUACGACAUUAAGUUAUCCGUCCGUCGGGAGGUACGGUCGCGAGAAUUAAAACGUUAAAAGGUAAAGUUAGUACGGCGUGAGACGUGCCGAACGGACGACGACGAGGGAGGUAGG